UACGAAAGCAAAAAAUUAUGGCGGUAUUUUAAGCUUUUCAGAGGAAUUUGCUCUUUAAUGGAUAAAACACCUAAAUCUUACUUAAAUUUGUAAAUUCAAUUUGUAUACCACUAUAAAAACAAUUAAUAACUUCAAUUGUUAAAAUUUAUUAAAUUAAGUUAUAUUAAGUCAAGGUGCAGUAAAAAUUUAAGAAUGAAGUGAAUUACAUUUCUUUUUAGAGAGAGAAAUUUAAAUAACAUUUAGGAUUUGAAAGUAAAAUUGAAAU
rnacentral:rRNA from 1 species